rnacentral:rRNA from 1 species
UACGGAGGGAGCUAGCGUUGUUCGGAAUUACUGGGCGUAAAGCGCACGUAGGCGGCUUUGUAAGUUAGAGGUGAAAGCCCGGGGCUCAACUCCGGAACUGCCUUUAAGACUGCAUCGCUUGAAUCCAGGAGAGGUGAGUGGAAUUCCGAGUGUAGAGGUGAAAUUCGUAGAUAUUUGGAAGAACACCAGUGGCGAAGGCGGCUCACUGGACUGGUAUUGACGCUGAGGUGCGAAAGCGUGGGGAGCAAACAGG